rnacentral:misc_RNA from 1 species
UUUUUUUUUUUUUUUUGUAAAUUGAGAAUUUGGACAUUUAAUUAGACUUAAUUAGGGCUUAAAUUGAGUUAAUUGGAGUGAAAGACAACUCACACGGCGUUUUUGUUAAGUCAUUGUAAUUAGACAAAUAUAAAGAACACAGAGUUUAAUUGAUAAUUUUUUUUAGUUUAGGAAAGAAUUGCAAAAAUUUUGUAAGUUUAAGAUUUUUUUUUCGGUAAUUUCCACUUUAUUUAAUGAAAGUGUUCUUUUUCUGUGAGAGUAUCAUGAGGAGCAAUCCUUUUUUGGUUCUUUCCAUGGUGUAUCCUUAUGUUGAUAGUACUGUGGAGUUGCCUGACUUAUUUGCAUCUGCCUACAGG